UACGGAGGGUGCAAGCGUUGUCCGGAAUUACUGGGCGUAAAGCGUGUGCAGGCGGCUCGUUAUGUCGGGUGUGAAAUCCCUCGGCUCAACUGAGGAACUGCGCCCGAAACUGGCGAGCUUGAGUGCGGUAGGGGGAGGUGGAAUUCCCGGUGUAGAGGUGAAAUUCGUAGAUAUCGGGAAGAAUACCGGUGGCGAAGGCGACCUCCUGGCCCGUAACUGACGCUCAGACACGAAAGCGUGGGGAGCAAAC
rnacentral:rRNA from 1 species